rnacentral:rRNA from 1 species
AUUGAACGCUGGCGGCAGGCCUAACACAUGCAAGUCGAACGAGUGGCGGACGGGUGAGUAAUGUCUGGGAAACUGCCUGAUGGAGGGGGAUAACUACUGGAAACGGUAGCUAAUACCGCAUACCAUCAGAUGUGCCCAGAUUGGAUUAGCUAGUAGGUGGGGUAACGGCGCACCUAGGCGACGAUCCCUAGCUGGUCGGAGAGGAUGACCAGCCACACUGGAACUGAGACACGGUCCAGACUCCUACGGGAGGUAGCAGUGGGGAAGAUUGCACAAGGGGAGCAAGCCGGAUGCAGACAUGCCGCGUGUAUGAAGAAGGCCUUAGGGUUGUAAAGUACUUUCAGCGGGGAGGCGUUACCCGCAGAAGAAGCACCGGCUAACUCCGUGCCAGCAGCCGCGGUAAUUC